CCCAUACUCUGCCUUCCCUGGCCCCCCUGGACGACAGAGCUGGGCACACAGCGGGUGCCAGGCAGAUGUCGCUGGGCCCAGGAAGCAAUGGGCUGGACCUCCCUGGGUUCUUGUCUCUGGCUGUGUGAGGGGGCCUGGGGCCUCCCAGGCCCCUGACAAAGGCUCCUGGGUGGUGGGGGGAACGCUGAGGGUUUCACUGGGCUAAUUACCAAGCUGGUGAGAGGCAGACGCUUUACCAUCUGAGCCACCAGGGAAGCCCUGAGAUGGGGAAGCAGAUGGCAAAGCACACUGGUACCUCCGAGGCCCGCCUUUCCUAGGUGAGGAAAGCAAGACUCAGAGAGGUGAGGUCACUUGCCCAGGGUGACCCAGCUGGUAACGGGAAGCGCCACACUCUGGGCCGUCCAGAAGGAGGACAGCAGCUCUCCGAUGCCAGCAAUACUGCCUGCUGGGGAAGGCCAACCUGUUCUCUGCAGUCCUGAGAGGGCAAGACUGGACACAACCUCUGUGCCCAUCCUUCGGGGAGUGGGCCUCCGCCUGCAGGAGCAUGCGCACAAGAGAACACUCAGCAGCCACGAGACAGAGCGGGGUUGCCACACAUAUAAACCUGGAAGUGACAGUCACUCAGGGGAUCUUCCCAACCCAGGGAUCGAACUCGAGUCUCCUGCUUGGCAGGCAGAUUCUUUACCAUCGGAGCCACCAAGGAAGCCCAUAGACCUGGAAAGGAGAUCGUCAUGUGUAAAGGAAAAUAAAGCGCUAAAC
ensembl:lncRNA